rnacentral:lncRNA from 1 species
UUGGCUUGUGCCUUGCCAAACCAUAUCAAUCAAGUUACAGUAACUUGCAUGUACUCCAAAAAUACUAAACCAGAACCAAAGAAGAAUAUUCACUAACUGAAAGGAGGAAACAUUUAUGCUUUUAUCACCGAGACAACUGAUAUGUUUACAAAAUGAUAGAUGCAUGUCCAUCAAUUCACUGUUUGCUCCAUUACACAAAAUACCCAGUUGACAGGACACCAUAUAGGUUUACAAAAUGAUACAUAGAAGACGCAUUGUUAUUGCUCCAUUACACAAAAUGUCUAGCUGACACAAACUGCCAUCUUCAUGGUUCCUCCCUGGUCCUCUUGUAUGUCAUUCCUACAAAGGUCCUCUUGUAUGUCAUUCCUACAAAGGAUUAAAAGAAGUCACCGGUGAAUUCAUGCAUUCAUAGAGAUAAUGGUAAAAAUAAUAAUUGUAUAAAGGAUCAAUGGAACUCCGCCUAUGUUGUCUCAACAUAGCCGGUCCCAAGCCCGGGUAAAGGAGGAGGGUUGUGAUAGGCUUGGCGAGCCAACGUAAAAACUCAGCCACUCUUAUGAAGAUGAAACCCAAAAGAUUUUCGUUGGGGCGUAACCCUCUCAGCGACGCGCCACAUCGGAACCCGGGUGUGGUGGAAAAUGGGCAAGGGCCGGG